GUGCCUUCCACCAGAUACCCAAUCUUGCAAGACAGUUAUUAAAAAGUCUCACUUUCGCUGUUUGUGCCUCUAAGUCCAUUCUUUGGGUUUGGACCUGUGAGUGUGUUUCUCACAAACCUGGGGGCCUGUCCGGGAUCUCUGUGCCUGUGUAGAGUGGGACUCCAGCUGAGAAGGGAGACGCGUCCCACCCGAUUUAGGUGGCCUACUCUGUCUGGGCAGUACCAGCUCCCCACAGAAGCCAUAGAUCAACUGGAGACUGUUAUUCAGGAGACAGUGGAGGUGACACAGGGAGAAAAGCAGGCAUCGUGGCAACGAAGGCAACCUCUUGCAUCAGCCAAGGCUAACAGGACUUCUGACUCAAACUCCACCUCCAGAGUUCGGGUUCAGCAUUUGCAGCCCGGCGACUUGGUGCUGAUUAAGACUUGGGAAGAAGACAAGCUCCACGCAAACUGGGAAGGUCCCUAUCAAGCGCUCCUGACCACUGAGACAGCCGUGUGAACAGCUGAACAGGGGGACUAUGAACCACUCCUCCUGCCUCUCUAGGCAGGGGGCAGAGUUCAAUCAGCCCAUGGGAGAACUCUCAACUCGUACCCACAUCUGAAACGUCACUGGAAAUAAUGGACUUAACAACGUCUACAAAGAGAACCAAGGAAAAUUCCAGGUUUUAGACCUGACACUUCAGGAGCUCAGAAGUUGCCGCUUCAUCCUAACAGCAAGUAAAACCUAAACGAACUGAAAAAUCAACAACUUUUCUUAGACCAAAGAAGUAAAGUUACAGUGUAAACUGCAAUCCUGAAUAUUGAAAAGAUAGGUGGAUACAGAGAAUCACAACUUACUGAAACAGUGACCUACAAGCAUAAACCUCCACAGGACCCAGUGCUAGGGUAGAAAAACCUAAAUUUUAAUUGAUGAAUUGCUGGAGGCUCAGUGUGGGCAAGUCUGAAAGUUAAAACUCCAGAGGACCCAGUCAUAGAGAUGAUGCCCUUAUAUUUUGUGAGAAUUACCUCCAAGAGCUCUACUAGGGACUCGCAGAGAAUAUGGGAGAAAAAUCUCCUUCUACUUCCAGCAGGGGGAGGGGAAAAUUACCAAUUGCAAAUACCCUAGAGCAUUCUGUUUUUAACAAGGUCUGACCUGAGGAGAAACUAUUUACUAAAGCUUAAUCAUCUGAGGUCUUAUUAGAGCCCAACCUACCUGGGGAAAUAAAAAUAUCCAACUCCGGUCACCUCUAGCCAUUCUGUCUUACGAAGGGGAAAAAAUACUGAGGAGCACUGGUGAAGUUCACAGUCCGGUAGCAAAGGUUUAUGAACUACUGACAACCAUAGACCCAUAGAAUGCUUCCCUUCCCCCACAACUUAACACCACACCACUAAAGACCUAUUUACUGAAGUUUCUUUUACUUAAUACAUCAUGUCAGGAUUUUAAAGAAAAAAACAUUAAAAAUUACAUACAUACAUGUAUACAAAGAGGCAAAAAAAAGAAGAAACAAGAAAAACCAAAAAACGGCAUUUCAAGAUACUGAACAAGCAUCAGAACCAGAGUCAGAUAUUUUAGGAAUAUUGGAAUUAUCAGACCAGCAAUUUAAAACAACUGUAAUUAGCAUGCUAAGAGCUCUAAUGGAAAAAAAAGCAGACAGCAUGCAAUGGAUAAUGUAAGCAGAAAGAUGAAAACUCCAAGAAACAAUUAAAAAAUGCUAGAGGUCAAAAAUACGAUGAGAAAGGAAGAAUGUCUUUGAUAAGCUAACUAGUAGACUGCAAACUGCUGAGGAAAGAAUCUCUAAGCGUCAAGAUAUGACAGUGGAAACAAAUAAAAAAGAAUCUAGGCCAGGCGCAGUGGCUCACACCUGUAAUCCCAGCAAUUUGGGAGGCCAAGGCAGGCAAAUCAGGAUGUCAAGAGAUCGAGACCAUCCUGGCCAACAUGGUAAAAUCCCAUCUCUACUAAAAAUACAAAAUUAGCUGGGCAUGGUGGCACACGCCUGCAGUCCCAGCUACUCAGGAGACUGAGGCAGGAGAAUCAUUUGAACCCAGGAGGUGGAGGUUGCAGUGAGCCGAGAUUACACCACUGCAUUCCAGCCUGGCAACAGAAUGAGAGUCUGUCAAAAAAAAAAAAAAUUAAAAAAAUAGCAGAAGAUUAUAGUUUCUGUUAUUAUAACCCUAAUAGCCAUAGGGAAACUACAGAAAGUAUACGAUAUGUGUAAUAGUGAUACCCAAAGGAGAUGAAAGAGAGAAAGGAUCACAAGAAAUAGUUGAAGCAAUAAUGACUAAGAAUUUUCCCAAAUUCUGUUAGACCUAAUGCCACAGAUCCAGGAAUCUAUAAAAACCCCAAGCAUGGGCCAGGCGUGGUGGCUCACGCCUGUAAUCCCAGCACUUUGCGAGGCUGAGGUGGGCGGACUACAAGGUCAGGAGUUUGACACCAGCCUGCCCAAUAUGGUGAAACCUCGUCUUUACUACAAACAUACAAAAAUUAGCAAGGUGUGGUGGUGGGCGCCUGUAGUCCCAGCUACCGGUGAGGCUGAGGCAGGAGAAUCACUUGAAACCAGGAGGCAGAGGUUGCAGCGAGCCAAGAUCAUACCAUUGCACUGGGGGACAGAACAAGACUCCGUCCCCACCUCCCAAAAAAAACAAAAAACAAAAUAAAACAAACAAAAAAACCCAAAAAAGCCACCAAGCAUGACAAAUGCCAUACACACACACAUGCCAGCCUCACCUAGGCAUAUCAUAUCCCAAUUUCAGAAAACAAAGCAAAAAACGAAAAAAGCCAGAGGAAAAAAUAUAUCUUACCUAUAGUGGAACAAAGAUAACACACUUACACCAAACUAAUUCUUGAAAACUGUGCUAACAAGAAGAAAAUAUUUGAAAUGUUGAGAGAUAAAAACCAACCUAGAACUCUG